rnacentral:rRNA from 1 species
UGUUGACCUCAGAUCGUGUAAGAAUACCCUCUGAACUUACGCAUA